rnacentral:tRNA from 1 species
UGGCUCAGAGAGUAAAGUGUCUGCCUGCAAUGCGGAAGACCCAGGUUCGAUCCCUGG